GGGGGUAGAAGGUGCCUGGCUAGGCUGCUGCCUGGGACACGAGGCUAGUGCCAAAAUGGCAAAGUGCCAUUGUCCCUUCCUGAUUUUAGGCGCGCAGAGCUCCGAUCUGAGCCGCUAGGUAGUCUAAGAUGAAAAGGCAGGGAAAUUAAUGAUUUCUAGACCCCUCUUUAAGAGCUCAAAGGAAAGCAAAAUGAAAACUCCUAAGACACUUAGGAUACCCGCCCAUUGGAAGCUGAUUUUGCCGGGAAUAUUAUUUGUGUGGAAUCUGAAAUUAUAGUGGAAAUUUCCACGAUAACGCAAGGAUCUGUCUUCAGGUCAACAGAGUUCCUAAGAAGCAAUGGACAAAGACCCAGAGUCUGUGCUGGGGGCCUUGGAAGGCUCUAAACCCUGAGCAGCAGUUUACAGAAGAGGCGAACAAUAUGGAUAUGGAGACAAUCUCUUAGGAGACUUGGGAGUGCUCUCCUGUAGGAUCCAAGACUUCUCAUCUUUCCGAUGCGAACUGAAUUAUGCUAGCAUGUCAACCAGGACAUUUCAGAGAAGCAUCGAACAGAAACGUGUUAGUAAACCUCUUACCAGAACACCCUCACUAUCGAUUUUUUUUUGUCACUAAAACACAAACCAGCAUGGGACAUUAAACAGGACCUUUGGUAUUUGGUGUUGGGAAAAUGCCCCCUUGGAUCUAGAGCUCUUUAGGAGUAAUGGCUUCCCGAAAAGAACUAUAGAGAAAAAGAAGGCAGAAUAACCCAGGUGCCUGAGCAUCUUUGAGGAGGCCCCGAUGUGACUACCUGAAACCAGUCUAUGUCAGCACUUCUUGCUACCUGAGAUAUACAUUAUUCAUGGUUUAAGCCAUUCUGAGUCAGGACUUUUUUUUUAUUGAAACUCGGAGCUGGAAAUAGCCAAGUUUACCCACCAAGAAUAACAUCUGGAUUAUGAACCCUGGAAAUAUAACCACUGUCAUUUUGUGUCCCUGGACUAUAUUAAGCUCUACCACAUGGUUUCCAACUUGAGAGUCACUUGUGAGUCAGCACGUUCUAUUUCAUCUUCCUCUAGAUCAUUUGCUGUUUGGUGGCUGGGCUAAAUUAAAAUUUAUAAACUCUAUCAUGUUAAAGUAAAUUAUAUUAUUAGUAUACAUAGUAAAUGUAUAUUAAAUUGUAUUUCUAUUAUAAUAUAAAUUUUAUUAUGUAUUAAGAAUAUUAUUAUCUGUUUUAG
rnacentral:lncRNA from 1 species